CCUACGGGAGGCAGCAGUGGGGAAUUUUGGACAAUGGGGGCAACCCUGAUCCAGCCAUGCCGCGUGCGGGAAGAAGGCCUUCGGGUUGUAAACCGCUUUUGUCCGGAAAGAAAAGGCAUCCCCUAAUACGGGGUGUUCUUGACGGUACCGGAAGAAUAAGCACCGGCUAACUACGUGCCAGCAGCCGCGGUAAUACGUAGGGUGCGAGCGUUAAUCGGAAUUACUGGGCGUAAAGCGUGCGCAGGCGGUCCGUUAAGUCUGAUGUGAAAGCCCCGGGCUCAACCUGGGAACUGCAUUGGAAACUGGCGGGCUCGAGUGUGGCAGAGGGGGGUGGAAUUCCACGUGUAGCAGUGAAAUGCGUAGAGAUGUGGAGGAACACCGAUGGCGAAGGCAGCCCCCUGGGCUAACACUGACGCUCAGGCACGAAAGCGUGGGGAGCAAACAGGAUUAGAUACCCUGGUAGUCCACGCCCUAAACUAUGUCAACUGGGUGUUGGGGAAGCGAUUCCUCAGUACCGUAGCUAACGCGUGAAGUUGACCGCCUGGGGAGUACGGCCGCAAGGUUAAAACUCAAAGGAAUUGACGGA
rnacentral:rRNA from 1 species